CGCGAAACCCGCGUGAGUGUCACAUUCGUUUUAGCGCCGCCCAGAGGAUCCGCUCCGCCUCCGGGCAGCGCCAUGAAUUCGACUGUCCGACACUGGACCCGUUUCGGAUCCGCAGAAGUGUACGUGCCUUUACUUUAACGGUUGAAGUUGCUACACCAAGAGCCGAGACAGUCGUCAGUGGAGAUUUUCUUUCCUGGAACACGGUUGCGCUGAACUAUUUGAGAUGCCUUUUCUUCUGAUUGAGUUUCAAGAAAGCAAGGACAUUGCUGUUGUGCCAGGUGACUGGUAUGAUGACGGGAUGGUGUACUGGCCCAACUUUGAACGUGUCAAACGGGCAGCUGCUAACGAGGAAAAGCAUGAGCCAAACUGGCCAAGAUUUGACGUAAAGGUCGUCAGAACUUGUGACAACUACAAAGACACCAUCAGGCUAAUGGACCAAUAUGAGACCGGCUGCAACACCUCUGAGCUACAGUCUGAGGCAGAGCAGGAGUGGGAGCUGCCAGAGAAACGAGUCAGGAAGCCAGUCCAUCGUUUUGGGGACUGAUGAGAGUGACGAAGAGCCCGAAAAUGGUGACUUAGCUUCUCUGAGGUCGCCACGACCUUCCAACUUGGCUGGUGUAUCAGUUGGAGCCUCAAGCCCAACUGGCAGACUCCACUAUCUCGCCGAGUGCCAGGCAGCAGAGUCACUACUCCUCAACCUGGAGGAAACUGUCUAGGAACAGGCUAAAAUCUCACCUCUUCACCAUGGCUUUCCCCUCAUAGCUUGGUCCACAAUCAGCUACACCCGUUUACUCCUGCUAUUUGUUUAUUUUGUUUUGAUUUUCUCGUUAUCUGUUCUUA
ensembl:lncRNA